rnacentral:lncRNA from 1 species
CAGAAAGCAUUUUACCUGUGCUUCAGAGGGACUAUUUAACAAAGACAUUUGCCAUUUUCCACUCCUUCUUUAGCCUCCCUAGGAGAUGCCCGGUGGCUGACACCCAGAGGAAGCACAGCCUCCCCUCUGAAGCUUCCUCUACUGCAGUCUCUGUGCUCAUCGCAAGGAUCUCUCCAUAUUGACUUAUAUUUGUUUCUGGUCUUAUAUUUUUCUCUAUGGACAGACUUCUAUUUUCAGAAGAUAGAUAUUUAAGUCACAAUAUUCUGGACUCUGGCUUAGUUAGACCAACCGUCUCUUGAUCGUCUGUGGAAACUGAAUCAGGAACACCCCAGAGAGCUGGCUCUGGAUGUAAUUCACAGCUUCAUUUAAUUAUUAUCAUCAAAGUUAAUGAAGGCCAUAAACUGUUUCAUAACAUACCAAUGGGAAGUGUGAUUGGAGGGAAAGCUGGACACCUCACCAUAAAACUGGCACAGCAGAAACGGCUCGACUUAACAAAACCUUCUUAUGAAGAAAAAGACAAUGAAACCAUGUUCAGUUUAGUGAACCUUUCACACUUGGCAACAUGAAUGUUAAGUCAAAAGAACAAUGGAGCUAUGAGUUUUUUUAAUCAAAUUUUUAUUUUGGGUCAAAUAAGCCAUUUUGUUUGUUUGUUAUUAAGUGUAAAGAGAGCUUUCGGUUAGCUAUUU